GGUGUAUAAAGCUAAAUGGUUAAAGCAUUGGUUUGUGGAACUGAGAAUGGCGGGUUCGAUUCCCGUUAUACACC
rnacentral:tRNA from 1 species